GAGUUUGAUCCUGGCUCAGGAUGAACGCUGGCGGCAGGCUUAAUACAUGCAAGUCGAACGGUAACAUAACGGGUAGCAAUACCUGUGAUGACGAGUGGCGUACGGGUGCGUAACACGUGUGCAACCUACCUUAUACUGGAACAUAACGUUGAGAAAUUGACGCUAAUAUUCCAUAAUAUUUUUAAACGGCAUCGUUUUUUAAUUAAAGUUAGCAAUAAUGGUAUAAGAUGGGCACGCGUUCCAUUAGUUAGUUGGUAGGGUAACGGCUUACCAAGGCUACGAUGGAUAGGGGUUCUGAGAGGAAAAUCCCCCACACUGGAACUGAGACACGGUCCAGACUCCUACGGGAGGCAGCAGUAAGGAAUAUUGGUCAAUGGUCGAAAGACUGAACCAGCCAUGCCGCGUGCAGGAAGACAGCCCUAUGGGUUGUAAACUGCUUUUAUUAGAGGAUAAAAUGAGGUACGUGUACUUUAUUGCAGGUAUCUAAUGAAUAAGCAUCGGCUAACUCCGUGCCAGCAGCCGCGGUAAUACGGAGGAUGCAAGCGUUAUCCGGAUUUAUUGGGUUUAAAGGGUGCGCAGGCGGACUGGUAAGUCAGUGGU
rnacentral:rRNA from 1 species